rnacentral:rRNA from 1 species
UGCAGUCGAGCGGAGAAGGGAGCUUGCUCCUGGAUUCGACGGCGGACGGGUGAGUAAUGCCUAUGAAUCUGCCUGGUAGUGGGGGAUAACGUCCGGAAACGGGCGCUAAUACCGCAUACGUCCUGAGGGAGAAAGUGGGGGAUCUUCGGACCUCACGCUAUCAGAUGAACCUAGGUCGGAUUAACUAGUUGGUGGGGUAAAGGCCUACCCAGGCGACGAUCCAUAACUGGUCUGAGAGGAUGAUCAAUCACACUGGAACUGAGACACGGUCCAGACUCCUACGGGAGGCAGCAGUGGGGAAUAUUGGACAAUGGGCGAAAGCCUGAUCCAGCCAUGCCGCGUGUGUGAAGAAGGUCUUCGGAUUGUAAAGCACUUUAAGUUGGGAGGAAGGGCAGUAAGUUAGUACCUUGCUGUUUUGACGUUACCAACAGAAUAAGCACCGGCUAACUUCGUGCCAGCAGCCGCGGUAAUACGAAGGGUGCAAGCGUUAAUCGGAAUUACUGGGCGUAAAGCGCGCGUAGGUGGUUCAGCAAGUUGGAUGUGAAAUCCCCGGGCUCAUCCUGGGAACUGCAUCCUAAACUACUGAGCUAGAGUACGGUAGAGGGUGGUGGAAUUUCCUGUGUAGCGGUGAAAUGCGUAGAUAUAGGAAGGAACACCAGUGGCGAAGGCGACCACCUGGACUGAUACUGACGCUGAUGUGCUACAGCGUGGGGAGCAACAGGAUUAUAUACCCUGGUAGUCCACGCCGUAACGAUGACGACUAUCCGUAGGGAUCCUUGAUAUCUUAUUGGCGCAGCUAACGCGAUAAUCGACCGCCUGGUGAGUCGGCCGCAGGUUAUACUCAUAUGAUUGACGGGGGCCGCCCAACGGUGGAGCUGUGGUUAAUUCUACCAACGCGAGAA